GCCAGGGUGCCCGAGUGGUCAAGGGGAUCCCCACGGGACUAAUCGUGGGGACCUGAAACGGGCUGCAGACCCGUUACUUCCCGGGUUCGAAUCCCGGCCCUGGCU
rnacentral:tRNA from 1 species